GACGAACGCUGGCGGCGUGCUUUACACAUGCAAGUCGAACGGUGAAGGUGGAGCUUGCUCCGCCGGAUCAGUGGCGAACGGGUGAGUAACACGUGGGCAACCUGCCCCUAACUUUGGGAUAACUACUCGAAAGAGUAGCUAAUACCGGAUAUGAAGUCUGUAGGCAUCUAUGGAUUUGGAAAGUUUUUCGGUUAGGGAUGGGCCCGCGGCCUAUCAGCUUGUUGGUGAGGUAGUGGCUCACCAAGGCGACGACGGGUAGCCGGCCUGAGAGGGCGACCGGCCACACUGGGACUGAGACACGGCCCAGACUCCUACGGGAGGCAGCAGUGGGGAAUAUUGCGCAAUGAGCGAAAGCCUGACGCAGCAACGCCGCGUGCGGGAUGAAGGCCUUCGGGUUGUAAACCGCUUUCAGCAGGGAAGAAGCGAAAGUGACGGUACCUGCAGAAAAAGCACCGGCUAACUACGUGCCAGCCGCCGCCGUAA
rnacentral:rRNA from 1 species